ensembl:lncRNA
GGCCAGCUCUGCUUCUUCCCUUUUUCACCUGCGCGCUUGUUAAACCGUAAUGAGCGUAGCCUCCUGCUUCCUCAUUGACUUUCCAACCUUCCUGACACCCUUCCGGGAUGGGGAGGAAUUCGUGGUCUUCCCUGCUGACCGUCUUCUCAGGGGAACAAAAAUCAUCAAAUUUCUGGAGGAAUCCUGGGGAUAUCAAGGGGCGUUCCAGUUAUUUUUGCUUUCGGUGUUUCCCAAGUAGACGUUUUCUUUAGACACAUAAUUGGUGAGAGUGACAGGCCUCGUCAAUUCCUCGCGAGGAGCGAUAAGCCUCUCUUCGGCUCCUUAUCGCUCCAAUUGGCUUUUGUUCCUUCUUCCCACCAGAUUUAACCGCUCAGCCCCUCCCCUCAUCUCUUAUUCAGCCUCAAAUCCCCCUGCGGAAUUCACUGAGCCUUUCUUUCGCCAAAGAGAUGUAAUUUGCUUCCUUUGUGGAUUCACAGGCUUAACCCCGCUGUUUCAAAGGAGGUUUUGAGAUUCGAGCUCCAUCAACCUAUUAUGUAACACUUUAAUUUGCACAAUAAAAUAAAGGAUAGAAACUUCGGUUACCGUUUCAGAUUUUCGCCAGUAUGAAUGUCCUGUUCUUUGUGUAGUACUGAGAGCCUUCUCUUUGGACUCCGAUACAUCUGGGAUUGAGUCCCCACUUUGUCACUCACUAGCUGUGUGAUGUUGGGAGAUUUACUCCAUCUUGCUGAACCUCAAUUUCCUUAUCUUUAAAAUGAGGAUGAUAAUCAUAGUAUCUAGC